ACUCUUGAAGUCUUAGUGGCGCAGCUAACGCACUAAGUAGACCGCCUGGGGAGUACGGCCGCAAGGUUAAAACUCAAAUGAAUUGACGGGGGCCCGCACAAGCGGUGGAGCAUGUGGUUUAAUUCGACGCAACGCGAAGAACCUUACCUGGCCUUGACAUGCAGAGAACUUUCCAGAGAUGGAUUGGUGCCUUCGGGAACUCUGACACAGGUGCUGCAUGGCCGUCGCCAGCUCGUGUCGUGAGAUGUUGGGUUAAGUCCCGUAACGAGCGCAACCCCUAUCCCUAGUUGCUAGCAGUUCGGCUGAGAACUCUAGGGAGACUGCCGGUGACAAACCGGAGGAAGGUGGGGAUGACGUCAGGUCAUCAUGGCCCUUACGGCCAGGGCUACACACGUGCUACAAUGGUGCGUACAGAGGGCUGCAAACCCGCGAGGGGGAGCUAAUCUCACAAAACGCAUCGUAGUCCGGAUCGGAGUCUGCAACUCGACUCCGUGAAGUCGGAAUCGCUAGUAAUCGCGAAUCAGAAUGUCGCGGUGAAUACGUUCCCGGGCCUUGUACACACCGCCCGUCACACCAUGGGAGUGGAUUGCACCAGAAGUGGUUAGUCUAACCUUCGGGAGGAC
rnacentral:rRNA from 1 species